GUAGGUGAACCUGCGGAAGGAUCAUUAAUGAAACUUGAAUUCGUAGCAUUGAGAGCUGUUGCUGACCUGUUAAAGGGUAUGUGCACGUUCAAAGUGUUACUGGUUCUGUUCUAAUCCACCUGUGCACCUUUGUAGACUUGGUUGAGCUUCGCUUUCGAGCGGUUUAAAGGGUUGCUUGCUUUCGAGCUAAGCUCCGUUUGUCUUACCGAGUCUAUGUCUAUAUAAACUUUUGUAUGUUUAGAAUGUCUUG
rnacentral:misc_RNA from 1 species